GUGUGUUGGAAAAUUACAGCCCACAUGCAAUGACUGGGGGCCUGGGGCGGUGCAAAAGCAGUAUAAAAGCAGGCCCUUCUCCUCACUCUCUCAUCCACUCCUCUCGCCUCCUACUGCUUUGGAUUAAGGUGCAGCUCCAGCCACAAGACAUGUCCUGUUACAACCAGUGCCUGCCAUUCCAGUCCUGCGGCCCAACUCCACUGGCCAACAGCUGCAAUGAGCCCUGUGUCCAGCAGUGCCAGGACUCCAGAGUUGUUAUUGAGCCCCCAGCUGUGGUGGUGACCCUGCCCGGCCCCAUCCUCAGCUCCUUCCCACAGAACACCGCUGUGGGCUCCUCCACCUCUGCUGCCGUUGGCAGCAUCCUCAGCUCUCAGGGAGUGCCCAUCAACUCCGGGGGCUUUGGCUUCUCUGGCUUAGGCAGCGGUUUCUGUGGCAUAAGGAGACGUUUCCCCUGCUAAAGCUGCUGGUGAUGGCCCUGGGGAAGGACCCCAGAGGCACACACGAUGAUACUGGACUGGGAAGGGAGAAAUGGGUUGUUGGUUUCAGAGGGGCUGAGCAACCCCAGCAGCCCUUGCAAAAUGACAGGGCCAGCCUGGUCUCUCAGAAAGCACAGCCCAUGCUGCCUUUCCCCUUGUCUAGUGUCUCCUGUUCCUCUGGUAUCCUUUUUGUCUUGUGCUCCUCUGAGAUUUGAGCCCCACAAAGCCAGCCUAGGGAGGACCUGCUGGCUCUGCUCCCUCUGUGGGGCAGGCAGAUGGACAUCUGGUUGAAUCUCUUCCACAGACUUGGGUCAGAGACUCCUGUCUGUCCCUCUUGUUUCCUUCUCCAGGUUCUCCACUCAAGUGACCUGUUUCCCUCUUUUUCAUCAAUAAAGCUUUGCUGCUGCAUCACA